rnacentral:lncRNA from 10 species
AGACUCCAAGUCCGCCAGCAGGGCGUCUGCAAAGAGAAGGCACGGGUAGCAGCACCUGCCCCACCCAUGGGAGAAAUGACCAGCCUUGGGACAGGAAGCCACCAGCCCCGACCAGCCUAACCAAGAGCCGGCUCCCAAAGCUAACUUCUUCUGGCCACCCAGGACUGAAAGUGCUCUAGAGGCGGGCUCUGGGGCUGCCCUGUGGGAUCUCCUACCUCUGGGAGUCAGGCACCUGGCACUGCGUUCCCUCCUGACAGGGCCGCGCAGCCGCGAGUGAAGUGCCUGUCUGGAACUCUGAAUCUGCAGGGCAACGCGGAGAGAAUGGGCGGGAGGGGCCCCACGUCACAGGGAGGGGCCCUGGCUAUGCCAGGCCCUCACUUGAUUUCUAAGAGCUUAGGCUUUCCCAGCCCCCGACUGGAAGGGGCACUCAGGAUGGUCCCUGCCCUCCUAACCAGGUGGAAGCAGAAGCCCAGGCUCCAGGUUCCUCCUGAGGCUCUAGGCUUAUGGGGUAAGGUGUGCGGGGAGGUGGGGGCUGGAGUGAGGCUGGUGCAGCGGUCCCCACCCCCUCAGUGAGCAGGGGGCAAGACUGCUCCAUUGGCUGUUUCUGCGGAAGUCUGGCAAGCAGCCCGGCCCCAGAGGCUCCAGGCCCCCACUGUUCUGCUUUUAACAGCGGCAAGGGAGCCAAAUCAGCCCUCUAGUGUAAGCUUCCAUUACCCUGGCACCUGGCAGCCAACAGGGGGGCACUAGGUCUCCCCAGUCUCCAGAAAAGAAGGGUAUAGAAGGGCAGGAGUAGGACCUGCUGACCCCCACUUCCUCCAUCCCCUCCUGGGACCCUCAACAGCCCCACGGCUCAGACAGCCUGGCCCUGGAUGCCACACCCUCAUUCCUGCCCCGUUCACAACUUGCUUGCUCUCAGCUCCCCGGUAACCUGCUGGGUCCAGGGAGCUGACAGCUUGAUCCCUAGCCCUCAGGAUAAUAAACAUCUAAAAAGCAAUGGCUGCGUUUAUUGCCACUUAUCAGUAGCAGG